GACCAGACUCCUACGGGAGGCAGCAGUGGGGAAUAUUGCACAAUGGGGGAAACCCUGAUGCAGCAACGCCGCGUGAGUGAAGAAGUAUCUCGGUAUGUAAAGCUCUAUCAGCAGGGAAGAAGAUGACGGUACCUGAGUAAGAAGCCCCGGCUAACUACGUGCCAGCAGCCGCGGUAAUACGUAGGGGGCAAGCGUUAUCCGGAUUUACUGGGUGUAAAGGGAGCGUAGACGGCUGCGCAAGUCAGAAGUGAAAGCCCGGGGCUCAACCGCGGGACUGCUUUUGAAACUGUGUAGCUAGAGUGCAGGAGAGGUAAGUGGAAUUCCUAGUGUAGCGGUGAAAUGCGUAGAUAUCAGGAGGAACACCGGUGGCGAAGGCGGCCUGCUGGACUGCGACUGACGUUGAGGCCCGAAAGCGUGGGGAGCAAACAGGAUUAGAUACCCGUGUA
rnacentral:rRNA from 1 species